GGUGAUUCCACUUAAUCAUCGUCUUCUCCCUCAUCUUCGGGUUCUCGUUUUCGCUUCUGACCCUGUUCUUCUUCUGGAGGAGGAAGGAAAAGAAAGGCAUUUAGAGCACACAUCCAUCCAUCCCACCUGUCACUCACCCCUGCUCCAGAAACCAGAGCCCACAGGUGGAAACCAGAAGUGAACAGUAAGAGCAAGUGGGAGCAGUAGGGUCGGAGACCAGCCUGGGGCCCUCUUGGGGCUUGAGCCAAAAGCCCUGCCGUGAUGAAAGCCCAGGAACCAAAAAGGUGACAUGAACUCAUUCACUCCUGCACUAAGUAAUGACCAUCCUGGCAAUUAACACAGUGCUGCAUGUAUUAAGUCAAUUUAUCCUUCAACCCCUGUGAAGUAGCAAUAAUUAUCGGUUCGUUUUCCAGAUGGGGAAGAGGACAGAUCUGUGUUCUGACUGUACAAAAGACACUUGUCACAGAGGACAGAGAAAAACCGAUGGAGGACCCAGAUUCUGUCUCUGACACCUAACAGAAUGUCUGUCACAGCUGUGGACCAGAUCUGUCCUGGCCCAUGCUGUCCCUGCUGGAUGGCGGAGGAAACUGACACCCCAGGAAGGGAGAAGUCUCACAUUACCAAGUGACGGAGCUGCAUCCCCACUUCCCAACUCACCCAUCUUCAAGGUGCCAGGUACCAGAGACCCUAUCCCAGCAGAGUUCCUCUUCGGAAGGGAGGGAGGAAAGCUACUGGCCCACAGGGCCAAAUUGGCUCUCCAGCAUGGUGACUUUGAGAUGGAGGCCCAGAGGGAACAAAAUCGGGGAAGUGUGGGCUGCGGUCUUUGUGGGUGGGCCCAGCACCCCCUUCCCACAAAGCAGUUUCCCACUCACGGGGUGAGAACACAUCACACUGAUGGAGGAGGGGGAGCUGCUGCGACAUGUGUGGUUCGGGCACAGGGAAGCAGGAAGAGAGCGUGUGAGUGUGAGUGCGUGCAUAUGUGUGAUCUCAGAGCAACCCAAACGCAGUGUUUUACACGCUCAGUCCUCACACUGCUUGGCCUUCCAUCAUAUUCCCAAUAUGCACGUAGACAGAACAUGGGAGGUUUUUCUUUUCUUAGUGAAAUUAUGAAAGUAAGACCUCCAGGCAGAUUAAAAUAGUCCUGCCUCCUAGGAGAUCCUCAGAAGACCUGGACGGAACGGUCCUGUGGGAAGCAGGACAGACGGACAGGGGAAGCCUCAGCUUGGUGAUAAGUGCCAGCUUUUCAUUCUGAGACCCUGGCCCACCCAGGGGAGCCCUCGGCAUCCAUGAGAGCAAGGAGUGCUUUGUGGUCAAGAACCCACAAACCAGGCCCAGCCUCCACCCGAUAGACACAGCACAGGCAAACCUGGCUACCUUGGCGGUGUCGCCUGGGCCUUCCCUGACUGGAUACCUGCUUUAUGAAGUAACUCUUUCAUGUGUAUUUACAAUAGGCAAGUUUACCUAAUGAGGAAGCAUUUCUCUAUUUCCAAAGAGCCAUUGUUUAACCAAUGACACAUCUUAGUAGUUGAUUUCCUUAAAAUCUAAGGAAUAUAGCAAUUCAGAUCUUGGUAAUGUAGAAAGUAUUCUAUGACCUGCCCCUUUCUAGCUGACAGACCAGCUGAAGUCCGAAGUGUACCCAGCUCUGUGAGGAGAGAGGAGCCAGAAAUGCUAGCCAGGUCUUGAGGCUGCGGUCACCACUAGGCAGGCCAGGGAUGCUGUCCAUACAGACAGGCUGCAGCCUGCACUAGGCUCUCAUACCACACAGCUCUGCUGCCCUGGGGUUCUGGGUCACCUCCGACCCACAUCCUACCACUCAAGUAAGUCACCAGCACUGGCCAGCAACCCUGAGAAGCAACAGGAAUCCACAUUCAGGGCCAACUCAAUUUCUGAGCCCAGGAAAUGCAGCUCAGGCUUCCAAAGUUCAGCAAAGACUACACGGGAAAAGCUCCAGAGAGGAAACUGAAGCCAGGUUCAGAUCAGCCAUGCUGAGUGCCCUUUCUGGCUGUGUGACCUUGGUCCACCUACUUAACUUCUCUGGGCCUCAGUUUCUCCCUGGACUAAAAAAAAUA